AUUGAUGGCGAGUGGCGAACGGGUGAGUAAUACAUCGGAACGUGCCCUGUAGUGGGGGAUAACUAGUCUAAAGAUUAGCUAAUACCGCAUACGACCUGAGGGUGAAAGUGGGGGACCGCAAGGCCUCAUGCUAUAGGAGCGGCCGAUGUCUGAUUAGCUAGUUGGUGAGGUAAAGGCUCACCAAGGCGACGAUCAGUAACUGGUCUGAGAGGACGAUCAGCCACACUGGGACUGAGACACGGCCCAGACUCCUACGGGAGGCAGCAGUGGGGAAUUUUGGACAAUGGGCGAAAGCCUGAUCCAGCAAUGCCGCGUGUGUGAAGAAGGCCUUCGGGUUGUAAAGCACUUUUGUCCGGAAAGAAAUGGCUCUGGUUAAUACCUGGGGUCGAUGACGGUACCGGAAGAAUAAGGACCGGCUAACUACGUGCCAGCGGCCGCGGUAAUACGUAGGGUCCAAGCGUUAAUCGGAAUUACUGGGCGUAAAGCGUGCGCAGGCGGUUGUGCAAGACCGAUGUGAAAUCCCCGAGCUUAACUUGGGAAUUGCAUUGGUGACUGCACGGCUAGAGUGUGUCAGAGGGGGGUAGAAUUCCACGUGUAGCAGUGA
rnacentral:rRNA from 1 species